GUCCGGAGUUACUGGGCGUAAAGCGCGCGCAGGCGGCUUCAUAAGUCUGGCGUGAAAGCCCCCGGCUCAACCGGGGAGGGUCGUCGGAGACUGUGGAGCUUGAGGGCGGUAGGGGCUGGUGGAAUUCCCGGUGUAGUGGUGAAAUGCGUAGAGAUCGGGAGGAACACCUGUGGCGAAGGCGGCCAGCUGGGCCGACCCUGACGCUGAGGCGCGAAGGCGUGGGGAGCGAACGGG
rnacentral:rRNA from 1 species